rnacentral:lncRNA from 1 species
UUCUUACAUCGGACGAUCCGAACUUAAAUAUCAUACUCCACAGUCGUAAAUACAACCUCUCCAAAAUACGACUUAAAUCCAACGGCCGGAUUCUACAUUAAUUACCCGCCAAAAAUACCACACUUCGGAAAUUCAUAAACCUAUCCAAAACUCAUCCAAAAAUUCCAUAACUCACUUCAAUAAACUCCCCUUAAUAUUCCAAAUUUAACAACAUUAAAAUCUCCCAACCGGCGGCGGCUCCGCCGGCAGCGGCGGCCGGAGGUCAAUUCCGGCGACCUCCAAAACCUAUGAAAUUUUAACAGCAUCUUCCUCUCAUCAAGCUCUACAACUUUCAUAACUAGCACAAACACCAAUUCCAAGCCUAACCAGGGCUAUCGACUAAAAACAUCAAAAACACCAUAAAACUUCCACUUCAAAUUUCUCCUUACCUAGCUCAAGAGGGAGUGAGUCCUUUUAGGGCAAGGUUGCUGGGUUGGAGGGCUACAAAACCAUACCAAGCUUGCCCGGAUUGGUGGCCGGAGGAGGAAGUUCCGGCGAAGUGAAGGUUUGGACAGUCGGACCUUACGGGUGGCACCGCUCCUUCACGGCGGCGCUAGGGCUCCUCUCACCGGUCUAGAAAUGUUGCUGGGAGGGAGACCGACCGAACGGGACCGGUCCGGUGGCGAACGGAGGUCGGACGGCGGCGGGAGGACGGCCGGAAAACCGGUGGGUGUAGAGAGAAGAAAAUCGGGUGAGAAGAGAAGAAAAAUCGGGAGGGAGAGAGAGAGAAAGGAAGAAGAAAUGGGUUGGGCUCGGCCCAGCCGACCCAACUCUCCUUUUAAUCCAAAAUUCAACACCCCGAAAAAUAAUACCCGAAUAAAAAUUACCUUUUACUAGCUAAAAUUUACUAUUUUUACCGUCGUCGUAUUUUCUUCAUACUAAUAAUCCUCCGCACAUAAUCGUCCCCGAAACCCCUCUAGGGACCAAUUAAACUAUUUACUCAAUGACGGAGACGGUAAAAUUCUUAUUAUAAUCACGCUAGUAAAUAAGGUAAAAAUAUAAGGGUCGGGAUGUGACACGAAGGGGCUGCCUUCACCUGUCUAAGGCCGCCAAGGGGCCAAUUUGACCCUCCUAGGCCCGUCUCGGGCCACCAAGGGGCCGCCUUAACCCGCCAAGAGGCUGCCUUUAGUCCUUCACCCUUCUUAGGACAGCCAAGGGUCAGCCUUGACCCGCUAUAAGGGCUGCCUUAACCUUCCUAGACCCGUUUAGGGCCGCCUUGACCCACCUAGGGACACCAAGGGGCCGCCUUGACCUGCUAAGGGGCUGCCUUCACCCGUCAAAGGCCACCAAGGGGCCGCCUUCACCCGUCUUGGGCUGCCUUUAGCCGCCUUAGACUGUCUUGGCCUGUCUUGACCCGCCUAGGGCCGCCAAGAGACCACUUAAGGCCGCCUUGAUCUUCUUAGGGUCGCUAAGCGGCCGCCUUGACCCGCCUAGAGACGCCUAGGGGCAGCUUUGACCAGCUAAGGGGCUGCCUUCACCCGUCUAAGGCCACCUUGAUCAGCUAAGGGGAUGCCUUGGGCCCCCUUGACCCGUUUUUGGCUGCCUUGGGCCGCCUUGACCCGACUUGACCCUCCUUGAUCCGCCUUGACCCACCUUAGGCCACCUUGACAUGCCCUGACCCGCUUAGGGCCGCCUUGACCCUUGUAGGCCCGCCUAAGGCCACCAAUGGGCCGCCAUGACCCGCUUUGGGCUGCCCUUACCCGCCUUAACUCAACUAGGGCCGCCAAGAGGCCGCCUUGACCUGCUUAGGGCCGUCUUAACCUGUUAAAGGGCUGGCUUGACCCUGUUACACCCUCCUUGACCUGCCUAGGGCCGCUAAGCGGCCACCUUGACCCGCUUAGGGCAGCUAAGGGGCUGCCUUAACUCGCUAAGGGGCUGCCUUCACCCGUCUAAGGCCGCUUUAACCCGCUAAGUGGCUGCCUUGACCCUUUAAGUGGCUGCCUUGACCCUCAUAGACCCACGUUGGGCCGUUUUAAUCCUCUUAGGCCCUCGUAGACCCGUCUAUGGCCACCAAGGGGUCGCCUUGACCCUUUAAGUGGCUGCCUUGACCCUCAUAGACCCACGUUGGGCCGCCUUAAUCCUCUUAGGCCCUCGUAGACCCGUCUAUGGCCACCAAGGGGUCACCUUGACCCGCUUAGGCCGCCAUGACCUAUCUAGAGCCGCCAUAGGCCGCUUUAACCCGCCUUGGCUCGCCCUGAACCUCCAUGCCCGGUCUUGACCCGCCUUUCCCAGUUUUGACCCGCCUUGACCCUCUUAGGGCCUUCAAGAGGUUGCCUUGUCCUGGCUGGGCCACUAAGGGGUCGUGUUCACCCGUCUAGGGCCGCUUUAACCCGCCUUGGCCCGCCAUGGGCUGCCUUGACCCGCCUUGCUCUGUCUUGAGCUGCCUUGACCCUCCUAGGGCCACCAAGGGGCCGCAUUGAUUCACCUAGGACCACCAAGGGGCCGCCUUGACCAGUUUAGGCCCACCUUUGGCUGUCUUGACCCGCCUUUGGCUGCCUUGACCCACCUUGGACUGCCUUGACCCACCAAGGGCCACCAAGGGGCCGUCUUGACCCGCUUUGGCUGCCUUAACCGGCCUUUAGCCGCCAUAGACAGCCUUGGGUUGCCUUGACCCGCCUUGACCAGCUAAGGGGCUGCCUUCACCCGUCUAAGGCCACCUUGACCCGCUAAGGGGUUGCCUUGGCCCACCUUGGCCCGCCUUGAUCCUUCUUGGGCCGCCUUGAUAGGUCUAGGGCCGCCUUGACCUUUUUUGGCCUGCCAUGAUCCGCCUUGGGUUGCCUUGGCUCGCCUUGACCCACCUUGGGCCGCCCUUGCCCGCCUUGACUCUCUUAGGGCCGCCAAGAGGCCGCCUUAACCCAUCUAGGGCCACCAAGAGGCAGUCUUAACCCAUCUAGGGAGGCCAAGCGGCAACGUUCACUAGUCUAAGGCUGCCAAGGGGCCGCCUUGGGAUGCCUUAAGCCGCCUUGGACCGCCUAGGGCCGCCAAGAGACCGCUUAGGGCCACGUUGACCUGCCUAAGGCAGCUAAGCGGCCGUCUUGACCAGCCUAGACACGUUUAGGGGCCUCCUUGACCAGCUAAGGGGCUGCCUUCACCCGUCUAAGGCCACCUUGAUUGACCUGUUGCCUUAGGCCGCCUUGACCCUCCUUGGCCCACCUUUAUCCGUCUUAACCUGCCUUGACUCGCCUAGGGCCACCAAGGGGCCGCCUUGACUCUCCUUGGGCCUCCCUUGCCCGCCUUGACCCUCCUUGGGUCGCCAAGAGGCCGCCUUAACCCAUCUAGGGUUGCCAAGGGGCCGCCUUGACCCGCUAAAGGGCUGCCUUGACCCUCCUAGGGCCGCUAAGAGGCCGCCAUGACCCGCCUAGGGCAGGCAAGGGGCUGCCUUCACCUGUCUAAGGCCGCCUUUACCCGCUAAGAGGCUGCCUUAACCCUCCUAGACCCACGUUGGGCUACCUUGAUCCUCAUAGGCCCUCCUAGACCCGUGUAGGGCCACCAAGGGGCCGCCUUGACCCACUUAGGGCCGCCUUGAACCACUUAGGGCCGCCUUGACCUAUCUAGGGCAGCUAAGACCCGCCUGGACCUGUCUAGGGCAGCUAAGACCCGCCUUGCCCCGUCAUGACCCUCUUAGGGCCGCCAAGAGGCCGCCUUGAUCUGGCUAGGGCCACCAAGUGGUCGCGUUCACCUGUCUAAGGCCGCCUUGACUCGCCUUGGCCUGCGUUGCCCCGUCUUGAGCCGCCUUGACAUUCCAAGGACCGCUAUGAGGCCGCCUUCACCUGCCAAGGGGCUACCUUGACCCUCCUAGAUCCGCCUAGGGCCGCUUUGACCCCCUAGGCCUGCCUAGGUUCACCAAGUAGCCGCCUUGACCCCCUUGUCCCGUCUUAACCAGCCUUGACCCUCCUAGGGCCACCAAGAGGCCGCCUUAACCCAUUUAAGGCCACAAAGGGCCGCCUUGAUCUGGCUAGGGCUGCCAAGGGGUCGUGUUCGCUCGCCUUAACCUGCUACUGUGCUGCCUUGAUCCUCCUAGGCCCUCCUAACUCGCCUAGGGCCACCAAGGGGUCGCCUUGACUUGCCUAGGGACGCCAUGAUCUGUCUAGGGGCCGCCUUGGGCCAUCUUGACCCUCUUAGGGCCGCCAUGAUCCAUCUAGGGGCAGUCUUAACCCUUAUACGGCCACCAAGGGGCCGCCUUGACCCGUCAAGGGGUCGUUAGGGGGCCGCCUUCACCCAUCUAAGGCCGCCAAAGGGCUGCCUUCAUCGGCCAAGGGGCUGCCUUGACCCUCCUAGACCCGCCUUAAUCAAUCUAGGGUCACUAAGGGACCGCCUUGACUUGGCUAGGGUUGCCAAGGGGUCGCGUUCACCCGUCUAAGGCCGCCAAGGGGCCGCCCUGAUCUGCUAAAGGUCUUCCUUGACCCUUCUAGACGCACCUAGGGCUGCCUUGACCCUCCUAGGCCCUCUUAGACCCGUCUAGGGCCACCAAGGGGUCGCCUUCACCCGCCUUGACCCUCUUAGGGCCGCCAAGAGGUCGCGUUCACCUGGUUAGGGCCACUAAGGGUCGCGUUCACCUGUCUAGGGCCGCCUUGACCCGCCUUGAACCUCCUUAACCUGUCUUGAGCCGCCUUGAUGUUAGGUGAUGUGAAUAGGCACAUAGGAAUGGAAAAAAACCAGACGUUCAGAAAAAGUGAAAUUUCUCAAAAACUCUUGUGCUAUAACAAAUGGUUUUGGCCGAAAUUUGGUGAAACUUAAAAAGAUGGGUAACACGUAAGCUUUUUCAAAAUUUAGGUUCCCGAGGUUAGUAUGAGAAGAAUUGAAGACUCCACAAAAAUGGCGAUUCAAUGAGUUCCACUGAAAGUAACAGUUCCAACACCUUUACCAAAUAAAGUUGUCGUGAGUAAUUUAGGCUCGAUUGCGAGGAAAAUGAUAAAGGCCAUGAGCUUUUGAUGCUAUAAUGGUUCAAUUGAUGUUAGGUGAUGUGUAUAAGCACACAUGAAUGGAAAAACACCAGACGUUCAGAAAAAAUAAAUUUCUCAAAAACUCAUGUGCUAUUAUAAGGGGUUUUGGCCGAAAUUUGGUGAAACUUGAAAAGAUGGGUAACACGUAAGCUUGUUCAAAAUUUAGGUUCCUGAGGUCAAUAUGAGAAGAAUUGAAGACUCAACAAGCAUCGCAAUACACUUUUUUCCACUGAAAGUAACAGUUCCAACUCAUUUACCAAACAAAGUUGUCGUGAGUAAUUUAGGCUUGAUUGCGAGUAAAAUGAUAAAAGCCACGAGCUAUUGAUGCUAUAAUUUUUCAAUUGAUGUUAGAUGAUGUGUAUAAGCACACAGGAAUGAAAACACCAAACGUUCAAAAAAAGUGAAAUUUCUCAAAAACUCGUGUGCUAACAAGGGGUUUUGGCCGAAAUUUGGUGAAACUUGAAAAGAUGGGUAACACGUAAGCUUUUUCAAAAUUUAGGUUCCCGAGGUCAGUAUGAGAAGAAUUGAAGACUCCGCAAGAAUGGCGAUUCAAUGAGUUCCACUGAAAGUAACAGUUCCAACACCUUUACCAAACAAAGUUGUCAUGAGUAAUUUAGGCUCGAUUGCGAGUAAAAUGAUAAAGGCCACGAGCUUUUGAUGAUAUAAUGGUUCAAUUGAUGUUAGGUGAUGUGUAUAAGCACACAAGAACGAAAAAAAAAUCAGAUGUUCAGAAAAAGUGAAAUUUCUCCGAAACUCGUGUGCAUAAGGGGUUUUGGCCGAAAUUUCGUUAAACUUGAAAAGAUGGGUAGCACGUAAGCUUUUUCAAAAUUUAUUCCCGAGGUCAUUAUGAGAAGAAUUCAAGACUGAACAAGCAUGAUGAUUCACUUUGUUCCACUGAAAGUAACCGUUUCAACACUUUUACAAAACAAAGUUGUCGUGAGUCAUUUAGGCUCGAUUGCGAGUAAAAUGAUAAAGGGCACGAGCUUUUGAUGCUGUAAUGGUUCAAUUGUUGUUAGGUGAUGUGUAUAAGCACCUAGGAAAGGAAAAAAACCAGAUGUUCAAAAAAAGUGAAAUUUCUUAAAAACUCGUGUGUUAUAACAAAGGGUUUUGGCUGGAAUUUGGUGAAAUUUGAAAAGAUGGGUAACACGUAAGGUUUUCAAAAUUUAGGUUCCUGAGGUUAGUAUGAGAAGAAUUGAAGACUCCACAAGCAUGACGAUUCAAUGAGUUCCACUGAAAGUAACAGUUCCAACACUUUUACAAAACAAAGUUGUCUUGAGUCAUUUAGGUUCGAUUGCGAGUAAAAUGAUAAAGGGCACGAGCUAUUGAUGCUAUAAUUUUUCAAUUGAUGUUAGGUGAUGUGUACAAGCACACAUGAAUGGAAAAACACCAACCGUUCAAAAAAAGUGAAAUUUCUCAAAAACUCGUGUGCUAUAACAAAGGGUUUUGGCCGAAAUUUGGUGAAACUUGAAAAGAUGGGUAACAAGUAAGCUUUUUCAAAAUGUAGGUUCCCGAGGUCAAUAUGAGAAGAAUUGAAGAGUUCAUAAGCAUGGCGAUUCAAUGAGUUCCAUUGAAAGUAACAGUUCCAACACCUUUACCAAACAAAGUUGUUGUGAGUAAUUUAAGUUCGAUUGUGAGUAAAAUGAUAAAGGCUACGAGCUUUUGAUGCUAUAAUGGUUCAAUUGAUGUUAGGUGACGUGUAUAAGCACAUAGGAACGGAAAAAACCAAACGUUCAAAAAAGUGAAAUUUCUUAAAAAGUCGUGUGCUAUAACAAGGGGUUUUAGUCGAAAAUUGGUGAAACUUGAAAAGAUAGGUAGCACGCAAGCUUUUUCAAAAUUUAGGUUCUUGAGGUUAGUAUGAGAGAAUUGAAGACUCCAUAAGCAUCGCGAUACACUU